AACGAACGCUGGCGGCAUGCCUAACACAUGCAAGUCGAACGAGACCUUCGGGUCUAGUGGCGCACGGGUGCGUAACGCGUGGGAACCUGCCCUUAGGUUCGGAAUAACUCCCCGAAAGGGGUGCUAAUACCGGAUAAUGUCUUCGGACCAAAGAUUUAUCGCCUUUGGAUGGGCCUGCGUUGGAUUAGCUAGUUGGUAGGGUAAAAGCCUACCAAGGCGACGAUCCAUAGCUGGUCUGAGAGAAAGAUCAACCACGCUGGGGCUGAGACACGGCCCAGACUCCUAGGCGAGGCAGCAGUGGAGAAUAUUAGACACGGAGCGAAGGCCUGAUCCAGCAGUGCCGCGUGAGUGGUGAAAGCCUUAGGGUUGUAAAGCUCUUUUGCACGGGAUGAUAAUGACAGUACCGGGAGAAUAAGCUCCGGCUAACUCCGUG
rnacentral:rRNA from 1 species